rnacentral:rRNA from 1 species
GACGAACGCUGGCGGCAUGCCUAACACAUGCAAGUCAAGGGGUAGCAAUACCACUGGCGCACGGGUGAGUAACACGUAGGUUAUCUGCCCCCAUCACAGACAUAACCUCGGGAAACCGAGGCUAAUAUCUGAUGAGGUCGUGAGAUCAAAGCUUCGGCGGAUGGGGAUGAGCCUGCGGCUGAUUAGCUAGUUGGUGAGGUAAAGGCUCACCAAGGCGACGAUCAGUAGCUGGUCUGAGAGGAUGAUCAGCCACAUUGGGACUGAACACGGCCCAAACUCCUACGGGAGGCAGCAGUGGGGAAUCUUGCGCAAUGGGCGAAAGCCUGACGCAGCCAUGCCGCGUGAAUGAUGAAGGUCUUAGGAUUGUAAAAUUCUUUCACCGGGGACGAUAAUGACGGUACCCGGAGAAGAAGCCCCGGCUAACUUCGUGCCAGCCGCCGCAGUAAAAC